GACGAACCGUGCGAACGUUGUUCGGAUUCACUGGGCUUAAAGGGCGCGUAGGCGGGGGGUCAAGUCCGAGGUGAAAUCUUUCGGCUCAACCGGAAAAGUGCCUUGGAUACGGACUCUCUCGAGGGAGGUAGGGGCAUGUGGAACUUCCGGUGGAGCGGUGAAAUGCGUAGAUAUCGGGAGGAACACCUGUGGCGAAAGCGGCGCACUGGACCAUAACUGACGCUGAGGCGACGAAAGGCUAG
rnacentral:rRNA from 1 species